CUGCAUUACAGAUGCAAAAAGAAAGUUUCCUCAUGCUUUCUGUCUGUCUGAUUGUGGCAGCCAAUAUUGAAUAGGGGAAUACAGAC
rnacentral:snoRNA from 1 species